ACCUUCUGCUUCACGCCCCAACACUUCCUUUAUUGAAAUGGCCCCCACACUCAAGUUCAGCCUUCUCUCUCUCCAGGGUCCUCAUGUCAUCCUUCAGUCUCUGCUCACUCUCUGGAAUUCUAGCCCCAUGGAUGUUUGAAUCUCUCUCUCAACCUUUUUCCUGCUCCCUGUCCCCUGUUGGCCUGUCCAUCAGGUCCCCCCAUCCUAACCUAUGAACAGCAUGCUUGUAUGAGAAUCCUGGGAACUAAAUCCGAAAGAUACAGAUCCCGGCCUUCAGGCAUCCCAGCUUUGGGAGAUUUGCUGCCCUUCAACCGUGCAGCCAAAAUGACAUGAAGCUGAGAGGAUGUGAAGCACGCUGGACCAUCACUUGCCUCAUCAGAAUGGCCUGUGUGUAUGUGCGAGAGAGAGAGGGAGAAAGAUAUGUUUGUGUAUUUGUGUGUAGGCACAAUGUUAUGGUAGAAAGAUGUUUACUAAUACUUGGAUUGCUUCUGUUAAUUUUUCUUUCUCCUUCAUGUGUCCACUCUGCUGUGUAGACUGUGUCUCCCUUGUGGUCCCUGCUAAUGAAGCCCUUUGCUGACCACUCAGGGAACCUUGCGGAAGAGGGGGCGUGUGAGAUUGUAAGAGUUGGUCAUGAGGGGUGGAGGGUGGACCAGAGACAGUUCCAUGAUGUGUCUACUACUGGGUGUUCAGGCUAGAGCUGGUCCAGAAUGCAGAUUGAUUCCCAUAAAUCCCCUCAGAGACAGUCUGAUUUCUGUAACAGGCUGGUACCCUACCAGGGGCAAGCAUGUGAGGUGUUUUCUCCUUAUCUGGUGCAGUAAAGUUGAAGUUGUCAGCCUCAUGAUUGGAUCUAUCUACUCCCCUAAAUUUUAACAACAAUUUGUAUUCAGCGCUCCUUGUAUCCCAUCUAAUACAAAGUGCUUACAGUAUGACUCACUCAGAACACCAACUGUGUGGUUGGUAGGUUGUGCUUUGAGCCAGGCUGCCAUCUAGAAAUUGACGUGGAAAUAGAGAUUGAGUUUGAGAUAAUGGCCCAUGUCAAUCACAUCUGCCUAUGUAAUGAAGCCCCGAUGAAAACUCUGGACACUGCUGAUCAGAUGAGCUGGUGGUUGUUAAACCCUUUGAUGUGGCUGAGCAUGAGGUGUCCUGCCUCCUUUCGGGGAGGACAUUGGCUGCUUUGCCAGUGGAAUGAAUUCUCAAUAAUCUGUCCCUACGUUUCUCUCCCUUUACCUUGUCCAAAAUUGUAGUAAAACUAUAAUUAUAACAGUA